rnacentral:rRNA from 1 species
AGUGAACGCUGGCGGUAGGCCUAACACAUGCACGUCGAACGGAAGCACAGUAAGAGCUUGCUCUUACGGGUGGCGCGUGGCGGACGGGUGAGGAAUACAUCGGAAUCUACUUUUUCGUGGGGGAUAACGUCGGGCAACUUACGCUAAUACCGCAUACGACCUACGGGUGAAAGCAGGGGAUCUUCGGACCUUGCGCGAUUGAAUGAGCCGAUGUCGGAUUAGCUAGUUGGCGGGGUAAAGGCCCACCAAGGCGACGAUCCGUAGCUGGUCUGAGAGGAUGACCAGCCACACUGGAACUGAGACACGGACCAGACGCCUAGGGGAGGCAGCAGUGGGGAAUAGUGGACAAUGGGCGCAAGCCUGAUCCAGCCAUACCGCGUGGGUGAAGAAGGCCUUCGGGUUGUAAAGCCCUGGUGUUGGGAAAGAAAAGCAGCAGGUUAAUACCCCGCUGUUCUGACGGUACCCAAAGAAUAGGCGCCGGCUAACUUCGUG